AUGAACGCUGGCGGCGUGCCUCAUACAUGCACGUCGAGCGAACAGAUGAGGAGCUUGCUCCUCUGACGUUAGCGGCGGACGGGUGAGUAACACGUGGAUAACCUACCUAUAAGACUGGGAUAACUUCGGGAAACCGGAGCUAAUACCGGAUAAUAUAUUGAACCGCAUGGUUCAAUAGUGAAAGACGGUUUUGCUGUCACUUAUAGAUGGAUCCGCGCCGCAUUAGCUAGUUGGUAAGGUAACGGCUUACCAAGGCAACGAUGCGUAGCCGACCUGAGAGGGUGAUCGGCCACACUGGAACUGAGACACGGUCCAGACUCCUACGGGAGGCAGCAGUAGGGAAUCUUCCGCAAUGGGCGAAAGCUUGACGGAGCAACGCCGCGUGAGUGAUGAAGGUCUUCGGAUCGUAAAACUCUGUUAUUAGGGAAGAACAAAUGUGUAAGUAACUAUGCACGUCUUGACGGUACCUAAUCAGAAAGCCACGGCUAACUACGUG
rnacentral:rRNA from 1 species